UCUUCUCGGCUACGUAAGCUU
rnacentral:siRNA from 1 species